AGAAUCAACGCUGGCGGCGUGCCUAACACAUGCAAGUCGAACGAGAAAGUGGAGCAAUCCAUGAGUAAAGUGGCGCACGGGUGAGUAACACGUGACUAACCUACCCUCGAGUGGGGAAUAACUUCGGGAAACCGAGGCUAAUACCGCAUAAAACCUAAGGGUCAAAGGAGCAAUCCGUUUGAGGAGGGGGUCGCGGCAGAUUAGUUAGUUGGCGGGGUAAUGGCCCACCAAGACGAUGAUCUGUAUCCGGCCUGAGAGGGCGCACGGACACACUGGAACUGAAACACGGUCCAGACUCCUACGGGAGGCAGCAGUGGGGAAUUUGCGCAAUGGGGGAAACCCUGACGCAGCAACGCCGCGUGGAGGAUGAAAUCCCUUGGGAUGUAAACUCCUUUCGAUCGGGGAGAUAAUGACGGUACCGGAAGAAGAAGCCCGGCUAACUUCGCGCCAGCAGCCGC
rnacentral:rRNA from 1 species